GCAGUGGUGGUUCACUGGUAGAAUUCUCGCCUCACACACGGGAGACCUCGGUCCGAUUCCCGGCCAAUGCA
rfam:Danio rerio chromosome 4, GRCz11 reference primary assembly.